CUCAGUAACGGCGAGUGAAGCGGCAUCAGCUCAGAUUUGAAAUCUGGCCCCAUCGGGGUCCGAGUUGUAAUCUGUAGAGAGUGCUUCGGGUGAGACCACGGUCUAAGUCCAUUGGAACAUGGCGUCACAGAGGGUGAGAAUCCCGUAUGUGACUGUGGCUCGAGCCCAUGUGAAGCCUCUUCGACGAGUCGAGUUGUUUGGGAAUGCAGCUCAAAAUGGGUGGUAAAUUUCAUCUAAAGCUAAAUACUGGCUGGAGACCGAUAGCGCACAAGUAGAGUGAUCGAAAGAUGAAAAGCACUUUGGAAAGAGAGUCAAACAGUACGUGAAAUUGUUGAAAGGGAAGCGCUGGCAACCAGACCUGUCCGUAGGUGAUCAGCCGCUGUUUUCAGUGGUGCACUCGCUCUACGAUCAGGCCAGCAUCGGUUCUGGCGGUCGGAUAAAGGCCUUGGGAAUGUAGCUUCCUCUCGGGGGAGUCUUAUAGCCCUCGGUGCAAUGCGGCCAGCCGGGACCGAGGACCGCGCUUCGGCUAGGAUGCUGGCGUAAUGGUUGUCAGCGACCCGUCUUGAAACACGGACCAAGGAGUCUAACAUCUAUGCGAGUGUUUGGGUGUCAAACCCAUGCGCGGAAUGAAAGUGAACGGAGGUGAGAACCCUUAAGGGCGCAUCAUCGACCGAUCCAGAUGUCUUCGGAUGGAUUUGAGUAUGAGCAUAAAUGUUGGGACCCGAAAGAUGGUGAACUAUGCCUGAAUAGGGUGAAGCCAGAGGAAACUCUGGUGGAGGCUCGCAGCGGUUCUGACGUGCAAAUCGAUCGUCAAAUUUGGGU
rnacentral:rRNA from 1 species